UCCACCCUGACGUCCCUGGGUGCCCGCAGCACACCUCUCCCCUCCAGGCCAUGGUGCAGCGCAUCGGCCUUCUACUGCGUCAGGCUGGGAGGAGGGACCGGGUUUACGCGAACCAGACCCGGUCGCGUGGGUCGGAGCCGGGUCGCAGCUAGGGUGCGUGGGUCGGGGCUGGGUCGCUGCUCUAGGGUGUGUGGGUCGCGUGGGUCGGGGUUAGGGAUUCCAGAUGGGGCUGAGUCGCAGCUGAGUUGCAGCUGGGAUGCAUGGGCAAGGCUGGCUCUCCAUCUAGGUGACAGCAAUGCUCAUGGAUCCCCCAGUUUAAGACCACUUGGGAACCCUUGUUGAUCAAUGGCAAGAAGUCCCUUAGAGGUCAUUCCCUUCCAGGCUCUGGAUACAUAGAUCUCUUCUAUGGACACAUAGACACACAGAUCCUGUCCUGAAGAAGUAUACACCAUGGAAAGGUGACACCACAGGUUGUUAUCCUGGAGCACACAGUGGAAGGGGAGACAGAGGAGGACAAUGACUUGUCUUAAGUGGUCAAGAAAGACUUCGUGGAGAAGUUGAUAAAGAAGCUACCCCGUGAAAGGGACCAGAAGGCCAAGGGAGUGUUUCAGCCUGUACAGUGCUUACCUUGAAGGCAUGAAGACCUAAGGCUCUGGACAUGGUGGUAGAGGUAGACACUCGGCAUGGGAGAAACAAAGACAGGCAGAUCUUGGGGGCUUGGGUCCAGCCAGCCUAACUCAUUUGGUGGGCUCCAGAUCAGUGGUAAAUCCUGUCUCAAAAAACCAAAGUGGAUGAUAUCCCAAGAAAUGGAUCCCAAAGUUGACCUCUUGCUUCCACACACAUGUUCACACCCACGUACAUAUGUAUACCCCCUCCAGCACACAUACAGAUGCAUCACACAUACACUAACCAUCCUCUGGCUCCUCUGGACAUCCCUUCAGACAUCCUGGCAGAUAUACCCUGAGACAAAGGUGUAGGGACAGUGGAGAGAAUUCUGUGCCUGUUUAGAGAGGACCUGAGUUGCGUUAGGAGCUGAAGGGAAAGUGGUGGGCCCAGGAGGGGUCUGGAACAACAUGCCAAGGACUUUUUGCAGGCCCUGGGACCUUAGGGAGGCUGCAGAGAUAAGAACACUGUUGGACUUUUGGAGUAGAGCCAUCUUCUUGGCCAAGAGCAAGUUGGAAAGAUAGAGACUGGAGCCAGAGGCCAGCAGCUGCCAGAUAGCAAGUGCAGAAUAAAAGGACACACUGGAGAGGUUGGAAGUACUGUCCUCUAAGAGACUAGUGCGCCUUGGGGAUGCCAUUGCAGGAGAGCAGGCAGCAUCAGAGACAAUAAGCUUGGGUGGACCAGUGUGAAAGAGGCAGCCUGUGUGGGUGAAGAAGGGGGCAUAAAGAUGACCAUCUGGUGCUCAGUCAAAGCUUGGUUCUGGUUGCCUUAAAAAAUUUCCAGGGGGCCGGGCCUGGUAGCACACGCUUUUAAUCCCAGCACUCAGGAGGCAGAGGCAGGCAGAUUUCUGAGUUCGAGGCCAGCCUGGUCUACAAAGUGAGUUCCAGGACAGCCAGGGCUAUACAGAGAAACCCUGUCUCAAAAAACAAAAACAAACAAAAAAUUUCCAGGGGUCCUUUCUCAGCAUCUGCUUCCCUACAUGAAGGUGGAUGCACAACCCCUCCCACUCUUCUUUCUGUAUCCACCCACAGUGAAGAAGACAGCCAAGAACACUGGGGAUGGAAGGGAGAGCUCUUGAGGGGAAACACUGUUGAAACUGGUGAAUUUUGGUGUUUCCUGGAUUCAUUAUGGAGAGAGGAUAGAAGAGUCCCAAGCCUAGGCUUCCUGAUGGGCCCCCUGUGGUCCUACUGGCUUUUCUGUUUCUUGUUGGCAUUCAAGCCAUCAUGCCAUCCUGGUCCCUCUGGGCACAUGGCUCUGCCUCUAGCCUGCCGUCCCCUGAAUUUGCUGUAGCUGUGUCUGCCCUGCCUUCCCCUCUUGCUGAGCCAAGCUUGCCACCUGUGCUACCAACCAUCGGUUCUCAUAUGUGACCUCUCCGGCGCCUCUGCCUCCAGAACAUUCCUGACUUCUCCAUCCUGAACUGCAACCUGCAUCUGCUUCCCCAUCACAAUGGCCGUCUACACUAUCACCUUCGCUUCAUCUCCAUUUACCCUCAGCGCUCCUCCAAUCCAGACCCUCACGCCCAUCCUGAACCCUUCUCCUUCCCUGGAUCCCCAUUGCCUUCUGCUUCAAGACCCUCUUCCUGACUUUGGACCUCAUCAGAAAGGUCAGGCACUCCCAUCGAGCUUCACGGCUGGCUUUCUAGCUGCACAAUCUCUCUCCAAGUUUGUUCUCACUCUAGCCUGACUCCCCUUGUGCGCUCCAGACUCAUGCAUUCAGCAGCCAGCUGGACGUCCUCCACCUGGGACAUGGUCCUGACUCAGACUCACUCCAUCCCCUCCUACCUACCCUAAAGCUCGUUGUCGUCCGGGUCUCUGACCUUGACCGUCAAUUCAGAGCCACCCUGCACCCUACCCACACUGCAUCCACUGCAUGCAUCACUGGGUCAGCUUCAUGGAUUCUCUACCAUCCUCAUCCUAGUUUGCCUCAUCCCAUAGGAUGCCCAGCUAUGAGCUCAGUCUCUUUUUCCCUCUUCUCCCCUCCCUAAGUGAUUUUAUUCCAUGACUACUCUUGUAUGCUUUUGUUAUGGUUUGAGAUAGUCUUCCUAUGUAGCCCAGGUUAACCUGAAACUCUGGAUCCUCCUGUCUCAGACUCUCUAGUGCUGAUUAAAGACAUGU